rnacentral:rRNA from 1 species
AUUGAACGCUGGCGGCAGGCCUAACACAUGCAAGUCGAACGAGUGGCGGACGGGGGCGUAAUGUCUGGGAAACUGCCCGAUGGAGGGGGAGAACAACUGGAAACGGUAGCUAAUACCGCAUACCAUCGGAUGUGCCCAGAUGGGAUUAGCUAGUAGGUGGGGUAACGGCUCACCUAGGCGCCGAUCCCUAGCUGUGCUGAGAGGAGGACCAGCCACACUGGAACUGAGACACGGUCCAGACUCCUACGGAAGGCAGCAGUGGGGAAUAUUGCACAAUAGGCGCAAGCCUGAUGCAGCCAUGCCGCGUGUAUGAAGAAGGCCUUCGGGUUGUAAAGUACUUUCAGCGAGGAGGCGUUACUCGCAGAAGAAGCACCGGCUAACUCCGUGCCAGCCGCCGCGGUAAUUC